GACGAACGCUGGCGGCGUGCUUAACACAUGCAAGUCGAACGGAAAGGCCCUGCUGUUGUGGGGUGCUCGAGUGGCGAACGGGUGAGUAACACGUGAGUAACCUGCCCUUGACUUUGGGAUAACUUCAGGAAACUGGGGCUAAUACCGGAUAGGAGCUCCUGCUGCAUGGUGGGGGUUGGAAAGUUUCGGCGGUUGGGGAAGGACUCGCGGCUUAUCAGCUUGUUGGUGGGGUAGUGGCUUACCAAGGCUUUGACGGGUAGCCGGCCUGAGAGGGUGACCGGCCACAUUGGGACUGAGAUACGGCCCAGAGUCCUACGGGAGGCAGCAGUGGGGAAUAUUGCACGAUGGGCGGAAGCCUGAUGCAGCCACGCCGCGUGCGGGAUGACGGCCUUCGGGUUGUAAACCGCUUUCGCCUGUGACGAAGCGUGAGUGACGGUAAUGGGUAAAGAAGCACCGGCUAACUACGUG
rnacentral:rRNA from 1 species